UUGUUUUCCUGUCACAUCAAAUAAUCCCAUCUCGUAUCUCUAGCUACAUACCGUCAGUAAACCCGAUCCCAAGGUUGUUCUCCCAUAUGAGAAAAUCGAUUGUACCGGUCUCAAGAUAUUAGGAGUUCGAUUCCGGAAUCUCGGCCCGAAUGCUCAAUGGAAGCAGUCCUGGAACAUGUGUUUGUUGAUCUGCUGCUGGUGUUUCAAUGACAGAUGACUAACACUAGAUUCUUCUGGCGGCUAUUCCUGGAACGACAUGGAUCCUGAAAUGCGAAAGACUCCCAGCAAAAGACCAUCGUUAAACUUUUUGCCUUGUCAUUCAUCAUAAAUUGCACAGCAAGCGGAAAAAAAAUCAUUAAAUGAUUCACUCCGAACGAGUGUAAUCUGUAUUGCCAGCAGCAACUGUUGAUCAACGUCGACAAAUUUGGCAUCAGCGUAAUAUGUAGUGGAAAGGAAAUCAAGCAAUCGGAAACCUAUGAAGAAAUAUAUAAAUUCGGAUUUGAAGAAUUCUGCGUGGUGAAGGAGUCACGGAAGAAAGUAUAGAGCUUUACGAGUUCUUCUGAUAUGAAUUAUGUUUUGUUACUAUCCACCCGGAAGAAGUAAAGCAAAUAUAUCGUUGAGGCAACGGCAAAAGAAAGGUUGCUGGAGAAGUGUAAGUCCUGGAAUUUGGCCCUCAUGAAACCAGAUCCUAGUUUGCGUUCGCUGGAAGCAGUGAAUGACGCAUUGUUGAACAGUGAGGAUGAUGACGAUGUUAUUACUGUCGAUUUGGGAUCGCCGGAAAUAAGAAGGAGAAGGUGGAUGAAAAGACAAGCUCCAAUGUAUUUGACAACCAAUCUCUAUGAUGCACAACAUCGUUUUGCUUUUUUGGUGAAAGUGGUAAGAAAGCAUGAGGGCAUGCCUGUCCUGGAGAGUGCUGUCCGACUGGUGAAAAUUGUAGCUGCUUUGCUCUAUUGUGACCAACUUGAAAGUCAAGCUCAAGACAAUAGUGUGGUAAGUUUGUGCAUUUGUUAUUCAGGGUUUAACUAGAUACAUAUUUUAAAUGAUUCACUGUAGUGUAUACAAUCCGUCUAGCAUAUUUUUCGGAUGGGAAACAAUCUUGGCUCCCUGGGCACACUGGUCACACAACCAGAAUUGAUUGAAUAACAAAAUGCCUGGCUGUAUCUCAAUCAGGUCUCGCUCCAUUCCAUUUGAAAGCGGAGUGGGUGGAGGUAUAGCUGGCGUUUUCUUUGGUGGUAGAGCUUCCCAGAACUCAAUCUGUCCAGCCAUCAACCUGCGGCUGGGUAUGUUUGUCCAGCAGAUCCAAAUGCCUGUCCAAGCGGGAUAUUCAAAUCAUCAGAUCCUCAAUCAAUCAUUAGCACAACAUAUCCUUUUUUGGUCCAGAUGCUGAAUAACAUUGAGGUGAGUAUUAAGUAUGACUACAUUUGCUGUUCACUUGGUUAUGCAUUUUCUAAUUUUAGCAACUACAUGUCACGCAGAAUAAUUUACAAUGAGCUGAUUGAUUUUCCAAUAAUCAAAUGUCGUUGAUUCCAAUAAUAAAGCAACAAAUGGAUUACAGAUGGAUUACAGAAACAAUCACCUACAAAAAGUAAUCUUGAACAAGCAUUCUGGAAACAUCAACCACCUGGCAAAUAGCUUCCAUCGUGAACUGAAUGAUCUAACUGUCGUGACCGGGUAUCCUCGUCCCGCAGUUCAUCGUCGUGAAUAACAUCACCAGCGAUGGCUCGACACUCCGACCAGCAGAGACCUUUGUCACCAAUUGGCUCGAUGUCGUUGGGAACACUUCUCCAGGUUUCAGGACUCACAAUUCUCCACCAGAGAUGACUCGACGCUCCAGAAUGUUUGUUCAAUUUUACUUUUUGUGGUUUCUGCAAUCCACCAAUUGGUUGCUUUAUUAACGGAAUCAUCGAUAUUUUAUUACAUAUUUUAAGAACAAUCAGCUCAUUGUAAAAUAAUCUGCGUAACUUUUAGUGGCUAAAAUUCGGAAACGGAGAACUAAGUAAAAAAUUUAACAAGAUUGAACAAGAAAAGGAUCUGCGGUGCUAAUAAUUGAAUGAGUAUUUGAUGAUUCAAAUAUCCCGCUUGGACAUGCAUUUGGAUCUACUGGACAAUCAUACGCAGCAGCAGGUUUGAUGGCUGUGCAGAUGGAGUUCUGGGCCACAACCAUCAAAAACGCCAGCUAUACCUCCACCCACUCCGCUUUCAAAUUCAAUGGACCGGGACCUGAUUGAGAUAGCUUUGCAAUGGUUUAUUAAGAGAAUUUAUGCAGCCAGGUAUGUUGUUGUUUAAUCCAUUCUGGUUCUGUGUAAAAGCAAUUUAGAAUCAAUGGUUGCAUCUAUAUUGUAAAGAUUUUAUUCAUUAUUUUAUUGAUGUAGUUUAUUUUGACUUUGAAUUUAAGACUUAAGUUGUUUUAUACGAGGUUGAAUUAACUGCGAAAGACCGAAGAUGGCCAUGCUUUUCAUGAAUCUGAAAAGUUAUAAUCAAAUGGUGGAAUUGAAUGGAAUAUGAGUCGUGUUUUACUUUUGUGAAUUCUUUUUUAAUAGAACUAUUUUUAUCCUAAACAAGUUGGACACACUGAAGUCUCGCUUAACUUUUCAAAAGAACCUAAGUAACAUUUUUUCCAUGAAUUAAUUUGAGUACUUCAAUCAAAAGCUUUCAUGUUGGUCUGUUGGUUGUAAUAUUCAAAUUAUGUAAUUCAUGAAAAAAUGUUGGUUAGGUACUUUUGAAAAGUUAAGCGAGAAGUCUUUUUCACCUUCAAUGACUACAUACCAACUGGAACUUGACCAGCUUUCCAACUUAGUGUUCUAUAAGCUUUUCCACAGUCAUUAAAUGAAAGCUUUUUUAUUGCCGUCAACUGCUUGAAUACCAUGCAUCUUGUGCCCAGAUAGCCGAGAAUGUUUCCCAUCUGAAAAUAUGCUAGAGGGAAUUGUACACACUACAGUAAAUCAUUUAAAAUGUAUAUCACACACAAUAGUCACAAUAGAGCAAAGUAGCUAAGAUUUUUACCAGUCGGACAGCAUUCUUCAGGACAGGAAUUCUCUCACUCAUGGCGCGUUUUCUUACCAUUAUCACCAAGAAAUUCGAUGGGCGUUUCCUAGCUCUUCGAAUUGAAACAUUCGAUCGAUAGGAGAAGUGUGCAUAAUUGGCACCAAACUUUUUCACACGUCCGUGGAAGUGGGCUAAUGGUAUAAUAACGCAGUAAUAACGUCGUCAUCAUCCUCAUUGUUCUACAAUACGUCAUUUGCCGCUUCCAGCGAACGCAUACCCGACUCUUGUUCCAUGAGGGUGGAAUUCCAGCUUCCACUUCUCCAGCGACCUUUCUUUUGCAGUUGCCUUUGUCGAGUUUCGCAACUUCAUCAACGAUAUGCUUGCUUUACUUCUUCCGGGUGGAUGGUAGCACAAGAUGACACAUAUCAAAAGAACUCUUUAAGUUUUAUACUUUCUGGGUUUCUUCCGCAAUUCCUUCUUCACCAUGAGUCCUGAAUCCAUGGAUGAGUCCUCCGCUCUGACAAUAAGCCAGCACUCUCUGUUGGUUGGAGCGUCGAGCCAUCGAAAGUGGUGCUAUUCGCGAAAAUGAAGCACGGAACGAGGAUGCCCGUCACGACACUAAAAACUGCUCUUCAAAAUAACUUGUCGGAAAUGAAGUUAUGUAAAGAACAUGUAGAUACUACCAUGGUCUUUAAGCGACGGUGCUGGUUCUACUAGUUAACAAUCUCGCCUGAAUCAGUGAAAGAUGCCCGCUAUCGACACAAAUAUGGGACACGAUUUUACUGAUUUCUGUGCUUCUGGAACGACAGCUAAAUACAUGCAUUGCACUGCUUUAUCGAGGCGGUUUGAGCAGUUUACAAGGAAACAACACCUGGUUUACUUAUCUUGGAAGAAUUGGAGAUGGAUAGCUAGAUUCCUCGGCCGAUACUGCCAGUGAAGAUUGGCCUGCUAAUCAACGUUUUUUUUACUGAUUUAGUUCCUGAGUUGGACCUGGAAUAUUAUAUAGGACACUGAAAUGUAUUUGUAUUUUGUGAUAUUAAUAAAGUUGGGAAUCUAUUGAAACUUCCAAAAUGAAACUUUAUAAUUACACAUUCACGAAAUAAUUUUAUUUUUUACUGGGAAAAAUCAUAUUUAAAAGUGGAUAAAAUUAUAUUGAUAUCGUAAGAAUUUCAUAAAUCAAGCUUAUGAAAUUUCAUAAGGUUGAUUAAUGAAAUUAGUAAGGCAAACAUAACAUAAACAUAUAUGUUUAUUAUGAACCUGGUUCAUCCGAAGUUCAUGCUGAUUCAUAAGGCUACCUUAUGAAUUCCAAACCGAUUCCUUGUGGCUAAUUUUCAUAAG